rnacentral:rRNA from 1 species
UCCUACGGGCGGCUGCAGUGAGGAAUCUUGCGCAAUGGGGGAAACCCUGACGCAGCCAUGCCGCGUGAGUGAAGAAGGCUUUCGGGUCGUAAAGCUCUGUCAGGUGGGAAGAACCCUCAAGGGACGAAUAAUCCUUUGAGCUGACGGUACCACCAAAGGAAGCACCGGCUAACUCCGUGCCAGCAGCCGCGGUAAUACGGAGGGUGCAAGCGUUGUUCGGAAUUACUGGGCGUAAAGCGUGUGCAGGCGGCCAAAUAAGUCGGAUGUGAAAGCCCUCGGCUCAACCGGGGAACUGCAUUCGAUACUGUUUGGCUUGAGUCCUGGAGAGGAGAGUGGAAUUCCCGGUGUAGAGGUGAAAUUCGUAGAUAUCGGGAGGAACAUCGGUGGCGAAGGCGACUCUCUGGACAGUGACUGACGCUGAUACACGAAAGCGUGGGGAGCAAACAGGAUUAGAUACCCCUGUAGUCUC